UUGACCUCAAAUCAGGUAGGAUUACCCGCUGAACUUAAGCAUAUCAAUAAGCGGA
rnacentral:rRNA from 1 species